rnacentral:rRNA from 1 species
CAAGUCGAGCGGCAGCGCGGGGGCAACCCUGGCGGCGAGCGGCGAACGGGUGAGUAAUACAUCGGAACGUGUCCAGUAGCGGGGGAUAACCUGUCGAAAGAUAGGCUAAUACCGCAUACGACCUACGGGUGAAAGCGGGGGACCGCAAGGCCUCGCACUAUUGGAGCGGCCGUUGUCGGAUUAGCUAGUUGGCGGGGUAACGGCCCACCAAGGCGACGAUCCGUAGCUGGUCUGAGAGGACGAUCAGCCACACUGGAACUGAGACACGGUCCAGACUCCUACGGGAGGCAGCAGUGGGGAAUUUUGGACAAUGGGCGCAAGCCUGAUCCAGCCAUGCCGCGUGAGUGAAGAAGGCCUUCGGGUUGUAAAGCUCUUUCGGCGGGGACGAAACGGUUCGUGCCAACACCGCGAACUAAUGACAGUACUCGCAGAAGAAGCACCGGCUAACUACGUGCCAGCAGCCGCGGUAAUACGUAGGGUGCAGGCGUUAAUCGGAAUUACUGGGCGUAAAGCGUGCGCAGGCGGCUCUUUAAGUCAGAUGUGAAAGCCCCGGGCUUAACCUGGGAAUUGCGUUUGAAACUGGAGAGCUGGAGUGUGGAAGAGGGGGGUGGAAUUCCAGGUGUAGCAGUGAAAUGCGUAGAGAUCUGGAGGAACACCGAUGGCGAAGGCAGCCCCCUGGGCUAACACUGACGCUCAUGCACGAAAGCGUGGGGAGCAAACAGGAUUAGAUACCCUGGUAGUCCACGCCCUAAACGAUGUCAACUGGUUGUCGGGGAAGCAAUUCCUUGGUAACGAAGCUCACGCGUGAAGUUGACCGCCUGGGGAGUACGGCCGCACGGUUAAAACUCAAAGGAAUUGACGGGGACCCCCACAAGCGGUGGAUUAUGUGGAAUUAAUUCGAUGCACCCCGAAAAACCUUACCUACCC